rnacentral:lncRNA from 1 species
AACAAAUUAAAAAGUUAGAGAGUAAAAUUAAAAAAGUGUAAAUAUUUUGAAUAGUAAAUUCAAAUUUUGUUCAGGUAAGUUUUAUAUGUUCGUACCUUUUUAAAAUGAGCAAUAUAUAUAUAUAUAUAGAGAGAGAGAGAGAGAGAGAGAGAGAGAGAGAGAGAGAGAGUCCGGCUAUGCUAUUAAUAGCACGAAGCACUUGGUGCUACCCUUUUGAUUAUUUUCAUCCGUCAGAUCAUACUAUUUAACCAACCACCCACUCAACUCUAGGGGACUCACAUCAUCCUAACCGCAUAUCUCUUAAUCCAAUGGCUAAAAACUUGAUAAUACCAAUAACUUGAUGCUAUUAAUAGCAUAGUAGCUUAGUUCUAUAUAUAUAUAUAAUAUGCCCUCAAA